UGCUUCGAAAAGGGCAAAAACGCAGCGUCGCUGCAGGAAGAGAGUGCGAGGGAGAGAGCCAGAGAUGGAGAAAUAGAAUGAAAGAGUGAGAAAGGAAGCACGAGAGAUGGAGAGAGCACUGAGCAGGGCUGCAGGCAGAGAACCUGUGGAUGCAUCUUCCGAAACUUGCCCGCCUCUAAAGCACGUCAUUGUGCAGACUUACCCAAAAUGCAGGUGUGAACAAUUUGUAUAUUGAUGUUGGACAUACUUAGUCUUUUGUGACAAUGCCAUGUUACUAGCAUCAAUUUCUUCCGAUGGUAGAGAUGUUGCACGUGGUUUGAGCGAUUCCGCAGUGAUUCAGCAGUUCAACUAUAAGAGGCCACGAUGUAUAAGCAGGGAACGAGUGGAGUCUAUGGGAGAUGUUCAGAGUCUAUGCAUUAUUAUUUGGAGCAAUGGUUUUGCAGAAUAACACCUAAUAUAAACCAAUUGAGUGCAAGGAUUGUGUCCAUAUUAUACACGACCUGCAAUUGAGGAAAAAGUAGUCCACCUUACUAGCAGUGAUGGGAAAAGACACAUUAGAAGUUCAAUUGUAUAUCAGUUUUGAGUUCUUCCAGAGAGAUUCCAUCAAGUUUCUUUGACAACCUCAAGUGACUGAAGAUUCAUUAAAUUUUGUGAUUAUGAAAGACAAGAAUUGAGGCCUUGAAGGCUUCAGACUAUAUAGUUUUUUGCAGAUGCCUAGAUAUUUAAUGAAAACUUAUUGGACAGUG